rnacentral:rRNA from 1 species
AGUGAACGCUGGCGGUAGGCCUAACACAUGCAAGUCGAACGGCAGCACAGUAAGAGCUUGCUCUUACGGGUGGCGAGUGGCGGACGGGUGAGGAAUACAUCGGAAUCUACUUUUUCGUGGGGGAUAACGUAGGGAAACUUACGCUAAUACCGCAUACGACCUACGGGUGAAAGCAUGGGAUCUUCGGACCUUGCGCGAUUCAAUGAGCCGAUGUCGGAUUAGCUAGUUGGCGGGGUAAAGGCCCACCAAGGCGACGAUCCGUAGCUGGUCUGAGAGGAUGAUCAGCCACACUGGAACUGAGACACGGUCCAGACUCCUACGGGAGGCAGCAGUGGGGAAUAUUGGACAAUGGGCGCAAGCCUGAUCCAGCCAUACCGCGUGUGUGAAGAAGGCCUUCGGGUUGUAAAGCCCUUUUGUUGGGAAAGAAAAGCAGCAGGUUAAUACCCCGCUGUUCUGACGGUACCCAAAGAAUAAGCACCGGCUAACUUCGUG